rnacentral:rRNA from 1 species
AGAGUUUGAUCCUGGCUCAGAGCGAACGCUGGCGGCGUGCUUAACACAUGCAAGUCGAACGCGCAGUUCUCUGUAGCAAUACAGGGGAUGGGCGCGUGGCGAACGGGUGCGUAACACGUGGAUAACCUUCCUUCAGGUGGGGAAUAACCCAGUGAAAAUUGGGCUAAUACCGCAUAACAUGACGACGGCACAUGCUGUUGUCCUCAAAGCCGCAAGGCGCCAGAAGAGGGAUCCGCGGCCGAUUAGCUAGUUGGCGAGGUAAUGGCUCACCAAGGCAUUGAUCGGUAGCCGGACUGAGAGGUUGACCGGCCACACUGGAACUGAGACACGGUCCAGACUCCUACGGGAGGCAGCAGUGGGGAAUCUUGCGCAAUGGACGAAAGUCUGACGCAGCAACGCCGCGUGGGGGAUGAAGCUUCUCGGAGUGUAAACCCCUUUCGACCCGGACGAAUGCCCGCAAGGGUUUGACGGUACGGGUAUAAGAAGCCCCGGCUAACUACGUGCCAGCAGCCGCGGUAAAACGUAGGGGGCCAGCGUUGCUCGGAAUUACUGGGCGUAAAGGGUCCGUAGGCGGUGUGGCAAGUCGGAAGUGAAAUCUCUGGGCUUAACCCAGAGGCUGCUCCCGAAACUGCCAUGCUAGAGUGCGAGAGAGGCGAGUGGAAUUGCGGGUGUAGCGGUGAAAUGCGUAGAUAUCCGCAGGAACAUCCGAGGCGAAGGCGGCUCGCUGGAUCGCAACUGACGCUGAGGGACGAAAGCUAGGGGAGCAAACAGGAUUAGAUACCCUAGUAGUCC